rnacentral:rRNA from 1 species
ACCGCAUGGCUAGGAGUUGGAAAGAAUUUUGGUCAAGGAUGGACUCGCGGCCUAUCAGCUAGUUGGUGCCGUAAUGGCUCACCAAGGCGACGACGGGUAGCCGGCCUGAGAGGGUGACCGGCCACACUGGGACUGAGACACGGCCCAGACUCCUACGGGAGGCAGCAGUGGGGAAUAUUGCACAAUGGGCGAAAGCCUGAUGCAGCAACGCCGCGUGAGGGAUGACGGCCUUCGGGUUGUAAACCUCUUUUAGUAGGGAAGAAGCGAAAGUGACGGUACCUGCAGAAAAAGCACCGGCUAACUACGUGCCAGCAGCCGCGGUAAUACGUAGGGUGCAAGCGUUGUCCGGAAUUAUUGGGCGUAAAGAGCUCGUAGGCGGUUUGUCGCGUCUGCUGUGAAAUCUGGGGGCUCAACCCCCAGCCUGCAGUGGGUACGGGCAGACUAAAGUGCGGUAGGGGAAAUUGGAAUUGGUGGUGUAGCGGUGGAAUGCGCACAUAUCAGGAGGAACACCGAUGGCGAAGGCAGAUCUCUGGGGCCGUAACUGACGCUGAGGAGCGAAAGCAUGGGGAGCGAACAGGGAUUAGAUACCCUGGUAGUCCAUGCCGUAAACGUGGGGAA